rnacentral:lncRNA from 10 species
GCCGGUGAGCGCCUGGGGACCGCAGAGGUGAGAGUCGCGCCCGGGAGUCCGCCGCCUGCGCCAGGAUGGAGUUCGUGAAAUGCCUUGGCCACCCCGAAGAGUUCUACAACCUGGUGCGCUUCCGGAUCGGGGGCAAGCGGAAGGUGAUGCCCAAGAUGGACCAGGGCCCGGGUGGACGCGGCCGUCCUGGCUGACCUGUCCCUGCCCCCGCAAGCCGCCCUGGGCAUGAGCGACUUUUGCGUGGUUCCCGGUGGUUGCGCUCCCCGUUUCGUCCCCUCCGUGAGCAUCGGCGCUUACCGAUAACAUCACAUGAAGGCCGUUUCUGGAAUGAAGUCUGACUCCUCCAGUUUCACCACCUCUUCCGGAGCUCUCCCCGCCUUGCUGCCUUCCAUCGCUUCAUCCUCGGUGCUUCCUGAGUUUUAAAAUCGCCUAUCUACGCUUCCAAGUUCCAAUGAGUUAUCUAACGUCUAUGGAUUAGCUAGGUGGUUGGUGGAAGGUCAGAACUUGGUUUUACUUAGAUUUUUAUCUGCCUCAUGCCUGUACUAUUUGUUUAAUGAAUGCAUAGGAGGUGUUUUUAUUCCAACAAGAAAAUUAUUCGUACGCGAUUAUUGAAUGAAUAGACAAAUUCAGCCAAGUUCUUCUGGUCUGGACCAGCCUGGCUGAUUUCUGUAACUUUUUUGGGCCAACAGGACAGUAGCAAAUGUGACUCAGGCCGAGGCUUGAUAGGUGCCUGAACAUCGGAGUCUUUCUUUCAGUGUCCAUGUGCUUCAGUAAACACACUAGAAAAUAAAUUUCUGGUUUUUGUCCCCA